GCUGGCGGCGCGCCUAACACAUGCAAGUCGAGCGAUGAACAUUGAAUGAUCCCUUCGGGGUGAUUUCGAUUGGAUUAGCGGCGAACGGGUGAGUGACGCGUGAGGAACCUGCCUCUUACAACGGGAUAGCCUCGGGAAACCGGGAUUAAUACCGUAUAAGACUCCGACACCUCCUGGUGAUGAAGUCAAAGCGUUAGCGGUAAGAGAUGGCCUCGCGUCUGAUUAGUUAGUUGGCGGGGUAACGGCCCACCAAGACGACGAUCAGUAACCGGCCUGAGAGGGUGAACGGUCACAUUGGAACUGAGACACGGUCCAAACUCCUACGGGAGGCAGCAGUGGGGAAUCUUGCACAAUGGGGGCAACCCUGAUGCAGCGACGCCGCGUGAGCGAUGAAGGCUUUCGAAUCGUAAAGCUCUGUCCUAUGGGAAGAUAAUGACGGUACCAUGGGAGGAAGCCCCGGCUAACUACGUGCCAGCCGCCGCGGUAA
rnacentral:rRNA from 2 species